AUGAGAGCCAGCUCAAAGUGCCACGACUCCAUUUAAAGGAAGAGGAUUCCCAGACGAACUGUCUGAGAGAUAAUUUGGGGAAAUAGCUGCAUAUUUUACUUCAGAUUGAAAGAAAUUCAACGACAAAAUCCGUGCUUCUUCAACCGCCCCCAGAAGCGGUCUACAGUAGCUACAUCAGCAGAUAUAUAUAAAAAAUAAGGACAGCUAACCCGUCAUAGUGGUCAUCAUGGAUCUGUAUGACCCUCAGACGCUAGGCAUCAUGGUAUUUGGAGGCUUCAUGUUCAUCUCAGCCCUUGGCAUCGUCCUGGUCUCCACCUUCUCCAUGAAGGAGACCUCGUAUGAGGAGGCUCUGGCCCAGCAGCGUAGAGAGCUGGGCAAGAUGGCACCUCCCAGCCAACUGACCAAGAAGGACAAGAAGAAGGACAAGAUAUCUGAGAAGAAGAACCGUGGUAAGAAGAAAGAUGACAAGCCCAAUGGGAAGCUGCCGGAAUCGGAACCAGAGGAGGUCCCAGUGGCCAUACCUGAACCAACCCCAGCCCCAGAAAGAGUCACUGCUCCUGCCCCAGCCCCUGAACCAACCACUCACCCUGCUCCAGUUCCCACUGCCGUAGAGGCCCCACCUGCCCCUGCACCAAAGGAGAAGAAGAAGAAGGAGAAGAAGGUGGCUAAGGUAGAGCCAGCUCAGGCAGCCACCACCCCCAUUGCCCCCUCUAAGCCUGCACCAGUCCUGGAGGCUGUCACCAAGGAGGUCCCUGUGAUGGCAGUGCCCCCAGUGGGCUCCCAGCCGACUGCAGCCAAGGCUCAGGAGGCCAGGGCUCAGGAGGCCAGGGCUCAGGAGGCCAGGGCUCAGGAGGCCAGGGCUCAGGAGGCCAGGGCUCAGGAGGCCAGGGCUCAGGAGGCCAGGGCUCAGGAGGCCAGGGCUCAGGAGGCCAGGGCUCAGGAGGCCAGGGCUCAGGAGGCCCAGAACCCUUCUAAGAAGAAGGCAUCUUCCAAGAAAAAAGCGGAGUCUGCCAUACCAGUGGACUCUGGUCUGGAUUCCCCCCUGUACCUGCCCUACAGGGCCCUGGUCUCUACCGUUAGCAGUAUGGUGAUCAGUCAGGGAGAGGCCCAGCGCCUCAUAGAGAUCCUGUCUGACAAGGCUGGCAUCAGACAAGACACCUGGCAGAUGGCUACUCAGAAGGGCGACCCGGUGGCUGUGAUGAAGAAACAGUUAGAGGAGAAUCAGAAACAGCUGGCAACUCAGCAAGAGGACGCCACCGCAGCCAAGAACAGACUGAGGGAACUCACCAAGGAGCUGUCUGCUGAGAAGUCCAAGGUGGCCAGUGUGGAAACCAGGCUGAGUUCCCAGCUCUCGUCCAGGGAGCAAGAGAUGAUCGCUCUGCAGGCUCGGAUGCAGGCCUCCUACCAGGACCACGUAGCACAGACACAGAAACUCACCGCUAAGGUCAUCAGUCUUCAGGAGCAGUUGGAGUCAGGUCCCACUGCCCAGCUGGCUUGUCUGCAGCAAGAGAACUCCAUCCUCAGAGAUGCCUUGAACCAGGCCACCAGCCAGGCAGAGAGCAAACAGAAUGCAGAGCUUGCCAAGCUGAGAGAGGACUGUGCCAGACUGACCAAGGAGCUGGGGGAGAGGAGUGAGAGCCUUCAAGCUGAUGAGAAGGUCAAGAGAGGGCUGGAGACUAAGGUGUCUUCUGUAGAGAAACAACUUACUCUACUGCAGGCCAGCCGUGUAGAGAGUGAGCAGGUGCUGCAGAGGAGGUUGGAGGAGGUUAGUGAAGAGUUGAGGAGUUCACAGAGCACCCUGGAGAAAGCCCAGCAGGACGCUACCUCCCUCUCAGACAUCCAGGUCCAUCUGGGCAGGAUAGAGGCUGAUCUGAAAGAGCGUAGUGCCCAGGUGGAGGCCCUAACAGCCCAGCUGGAGCAGACCGAGCUGGAGAAGGGACAACUGGAGGAUCAGGUAGAAUCCAUCAACGUACUGCUGGAGGCCAGCCACAACAGAGACGUGGACGAGGACACGGAGGGUAACUCCACUGAGUUGGAACAGCUAAAGAGCAGUCUUCAGGACAGAGACAGUCAGUUGGCAUCACUCCAACAGGAGCUGAAGCAGCUCCAAGAAAUGAAACAGGAGGCUUCUGCAGUUGCUACAGCUGAGACCGAGCGCCCACCUAGCAGUGAGGAAACAAGCCUGGUGACAUCACUUCAGGAAGAACUGAAGCAGCUUAAAGAAGAGAUGGAGCAACUUAAAAACUCUCCUGCUGAUGUCACUGGAGAGACGGAACAGCUACUCAACAGAAUGAAGGAGAGAACGAGCCAGGAAGUGAAGCAACUCAAAGAAAAAUCAGAGCAGGCCCAGAGCAGCACUGCUCAGUCCGACAACUCAGCAGAACUGGCGGUGCUACAAACCAGUCUGGCAGAGAGGGACGCUAUGAUGGCAUCACUACAGGUGGAGCUAAGGGAAGCCAGGGACCAAUCGCAGAAGGUAGAGGAGACCCUCGCUCAGGUCCAGCAGAGCCAGGAAUCAGAGCCUAGCACAGAGCUGCCGGAGCUGUUGGAGAAACUUAAGGAAGCAGAGGACAGCCACGGGACACUGCAGGCAGAGUGUGACCAGUACAGAACAGUCCUGGCUGAAACAGAAGGAAUGCUGAAGUGCCUUCAGAAGAGUGUAGAGGAGGAGGAGCUGGUGUGGAAAUCCAAGAUUGCUGACUCUGAGGACCAGUUGAAGAAGGCCCUGGAACAAGUGCACACUCUGAAGGAGACUGCAGAGAGCUUGAAGGCAGAGAACCAAAGCAUAGAACAGCUGAAGGAGCAGUUGAUGCUGUUGGAAGCCCAGUUGGAGAAACAGUCCGAGACCGCCCCGACAGAGGAGGAAAUGGCACCGGUACACAUCUACAUCCAUACAGUACACCAUAGGUCAGAGGUCAGCUGAGCGAGGCGAUGAUGUGUGCUCAGAGCCAGGAGGUAGUCCCUGAAACCAGGGCACAGAACAGCCAAUCAGAGCCUGAGGUCAGAGUGCACCGGAGGUUAUCGGUCAUGGGGCACCCUUCACUGCAUGUCUGUUCUACUUGGGGGGUACUAGAGUUUCUGGAAACUGGUCCCUGGACAGCCAUGGUUACCACAACCAUAGUUGUAGAGAGAAUAGAGAGAAUAGAAUAGAGAGAUAUACAAAUACUACUGGCUGAUGUCAUGACCAUAGACAGCAGCCAGAGGUUUUAAAAUGUUCUAGUAAUGGCAGCCAUCUUGGCAUGUCAUAAAUAGGGACUAACUCAUAAAUAAAUUGACUCGAUUUUAUUUCUAUGGACUAUAUUCUAAAUGAGUAUCUCUCCUGCUGUUAAACCAUGUAUCUGUGGAGUUGGGAUCCAUUUGAUCACAGUAGAAAAGUCCCCUGUUCUCUUACUGACACAUUUUGAUUGAUAAAAACAUUACAGCAAUACAAGAAACAGAAGGGUAAUCUGGUCGUCAAGAUAGUCAGCACACACUAACUCCAGACUGUGUUUGUCUAGUCUGUCCAGUCUUCUCCAUACACAGCUAACUCUAACCAUGGUGUGUGUUGACUACCAGCUGCAACUAACUCUAACCAUGGUGUGUGUUGACUACCAGCUGCAGCUAACUCUAACCAUGGUGUGUGUUGACUACCAGCUGCAGCUAACUCUAACCAUGGUGUGUGUUGACUACCAGCUGCAGCUAACUCUAACCAUGGUGUGUGUUGACUACCAGCUGCAGCUAACUCUAACCAUGGUGUGUGUUGACUACCAGCUGCAGCUAACUCUAACCAUGGUGUGUGUUGACUACCAGCUGCAGCUAACUCUAACCAUGGUGUGUGUUGACUACCAGCUGCAGCUAACUCUAACCAUGGUGUGUGUUGACUACCAGCUGCAGCUAACUCUAACCAUGGUGUGUGUUGACUACCAGCUGCAGCUAACUCUAACCAUGGUGUGUGUUGACUACCAGCUGCAGCUAACUCUAACCAUGGCUUCUAAUCACUCUCAUCUUAGCAUGAUCACUCACUCAUUGGGUUCAGUUUCCCACUGAUUUUAGAUUUUUCACUGAAGGAACUACACUGUUUGUUUUGGACAUGAUGCUGUGUCUUGCCUGGUGUGGAGUGAAGUGGGCACUAACAUGACACAGGGUGGUGUGGGGGUGUGCAAGUCACAACAUUUUAUAGUGCUUUUACAUGCUUUUAUCUAUUUCUGUCUGUAGCAAGGAGGAACACACAACAUCUCUAGUGUCCGUACAGAUAUUAAUCUUAUACUAUAUUUUCUGCACCUCAAGGUCCAGUCCCAGUUGAAUCAGACCACAGAGGAGUUUGAACAGGCUCUGAAGACGGUUGCAGAGCUCCAGGCUCAGCUGGACCUGCUGAAAGAGUCAGGAGACUCCCCACAGGCUGACACAGAGGACGUAGCCCAGCUAAAGGAGCGCCUGCAGAAAGAGAGAGAACUAAUCAAAGAUCUUGGCCAAGCAGCCACCAAACUCCAGCAGCUCUUAAAGUCCACUCAGGAGCAGCUUGCCAAAGAGAGGAACAAACACCACACACUACAGGACCACUCUGAUGAGACCAAGAGUACAGUGCUGAAGGAAGGAACAUCUGUUUAAGAGACUGAAGACAAGACAUUAAAACAUUCCAAAAAGGCCUUCAUAUGAUUACUAUUACCAUAGUUAUGCAUUCCAAAACCAUUCUUAUUUCUUUGUACUGUAGUAGUUGAUUUCUGCAACUCCUGUAAGAAUCAAAGGACCAGUUUCCCAGACACAGAUGCAUGGUCAAUGGAGAAUCUCCAUUUAAAAUAACAUUUUAGUCCAGGACUAGGUUUAAUCUGUGUCUGUGAAACCGGACCAAAAUGUUUAGCUAUUGCUAUGAACAUUUCAUUGUAUGAUCUAUGAUGAGGAAAAAAAGACUAUGCUGCAAACAAAACUUUGUUGAAGAAAAAGCUCCAUUCCAUCAAUGACUCUGGCUAUGUCAGAAGUUAUACCUAAUACUAGCUUUGGGCCAGGGCAUUGGACCAGAGUUAACCUAUUACCUACUCUGCCUUAUUCACAGUGACCCCCCCCCCCCAACCAGAGUCCAGUGUUAAAAGGGAAAACAAUUGUGCGUUAACGCGUACAUCGACCUGUGCAAUUACUUUGUCUGUAUCCAAAAUGGCACCCUAUUCCCUAUAUAGCACACUACCUUUGACCAGGGCCCUCGACGAAACGCAAUGGGCCCUUGGUCAAAAGAAGUGAACUAUAUAGGGAAUAAAUAUGGUGCCACUUUCGGACACACCUUUUGUGUGUGUCUUUUCUAAGAGGUUGGUUGAAUGGUGGGUAGAUUUUAUGGUACACACAAUGGAUGGAUGAAUGCAAUACAGUGAGUGCCUCCUUCAGUACUGUGUGCGCAGUAGCUGGCUGCCAACACACAUGAAUGACUUUGAUAAAGAAUAAACUACAAUGUAGCUAUGUGUAA